rnacentral:rRNA from 1 species
UCAAUUUAACAACAUUGAAGCCCUGAACUUAACCCSGGAGAGGAAGCAGUGGCUAAAUUCUGUGCCAGCAGCCGCGGUAAUACAGAGACUGCAAGCGUUAUUCGGAUUCACUGGGCGUAAAGCGUCCGCAGGUGGUUCAUUAAGUCGUUUGUCAAAUCCCGGUGCUCAACAUCGGAACUGCGAACGAUACUGAUGAACUUGAGGAUGGAAGAGGUAAGAGGAACUGCUGGUGUAGUAGUAAAAUGSGUUAAUAUCAGCAGGAACACCAAAGGCGAAGGCAUCUUACUGGGACAUUCCUGACACUCAUGGACGAAAGCGUGGGGAGCAAAACGGAUUAGAUACCCGUGUAGUCCACGCCCUAGACGAUGAGCGCUAGAUUUGGGAAGUAUCGACCCUUUCCGAGUCGUUUUACAAGCUAACGCGUUAAGCGCUCCGCNUGGGGAGUACGGCCGCAAGGCUAAAACUCAAAGGAAUAGACGGGGACCCGCACAAGCGGUGGAACAUGUGGUUCAAUUCGACAACAAACGAGAAACCUUACCAGGGCUUGACAUGCUUCUGCAAGCGCACGGAAACGUGUGAUCUUCGAGAGUGAAGCACAGGUGCUGUAUGGCUGUCGUCAGCUCGUGCUGUGAAGUGUACCCUUCAGUGGGGUAACGAGCGCAACCUCCAUCAUUUGUUUAAUGACCAAAUGAAACCGCGGUCCUAAAGACCGAGGAAGGCGGAGAUGACGUCAAGUCAGCAUGGCCCUUACGCUNUGGGCCACACACAUGUUACAAUGGUCGGUACAAAGGGAAGCGAAGCUGCGAAGCGGAGCAAAUCCCAUCAAAGCCGACCUCAGUUCGGAUUGAAGGCUGCAACUCGCCUUCAUGAAGCCGGAAUCGCUAGUAAACGCGU